rnacentral:rRNA from 1 species
UACGUAGGCAGCGAGCGUUGUUCGGAGUUACUGGGCGUAAAGGGUGUGUAGGCGGUUGUUUAAGUUUGGUGUGAAAUCUCCCGGCUCAACUGGGAGGGUGCGCCGAAUACUGAAUGACUUGGAGUGCGGGAGAGGAGAGUGGAAUUCCUGGUGUAGCGGUGAAAUGCGUAGAUAUCAGGAGGAACACCGGUGGUGUAGACGGCUCUCUGGACCGUAACUGACGCUGAAACACGAAAGCGUGGGUAGCAAACAGG